AGAGUUUGAUCCUGGCUCAGAACGAACGCUGGCGGCGUGGAUAAGACAUGCAAGUCGAACGAGAUUUUUUCCUGUAGCAAUACAGGGAAAAGUCUAGUGGCGAACGGGUGCGUAACACGUGGGCAAUCUGCCUUAAAGUGGGGGAUAGCUCGGCGAAAGCCGAAUUAAUACCGCAUGUGAUCAGGGGAGACAUCUUCCCGAAAUCAAAAGUGGCGCAAGCUACUGCUUUUUGAGGAGCCCGCGGCCUAUCAGCUAGUUGGCGAGGUAACGGCUCACCAAGGCUUUGACGGGUAGCUGGUCUGAGAGGACGACCAGUCACACUGGAACUGAGACACGGUCCAGACACCUACGGGUGGCAGCAGUCGAGAAUUUUUCUCAAUGGGGGAAACCCUGAAGGAGCGACGCCGCGUGGAGGAUGAAGGUCUUCGGGUUGUAAACUCCUGUCAUUUGGGAACAAGUGUCGGUACCUAACUGCUACCGGCUUGAUAGUACCAGAAGAGGAAGGGACGGCUAACUCUGUGCCAGCAGCCGCGGUAAUACAGAGGUCUCAAGCGUUGUUCGGAUUCAUUGGGCGUAAAGGGUGUGUAGGUGGCGCCGUAAGUCGGGUGUGAAAUUUCGGAGCUUAACUCCGAAACUGCAUUCGAUACUGCGGUGCUUGAGGACUGGAGAGGAGACUGGAAUUCAUGGUGUAGCAGUGAAAUGCGUAGAGAUCAUGAGGAAGACCAGUGGCGAAGGCGGGUCUCUGGACAGUUCCUGACACUGAGACACGAAGGCCAGGGGAGCAAACGGGAUUAGAUACCCCCGUAGUCC
rnacentral:rRNA from 1 species